rnacentral:lncRNA from 1 species
CUCGCGUAUGCGUGUCACACUUGCGGACUAUCAACAAAAUCGAACGUAAAUCACUAUAGUAAAUUAGUUUCAUAUAAUGAACGCGCAAUAGAACUUACUAUCUCUUUUAAUGACUUCAACUUCUAACAAUUGCAUUUCUCGUAAUAGAUAGUGGAACCGAACGUGAUGGGUCUAGUCUAGCCUAGCCUCUCCUAUACCGGAAACUACACGAGUCCUGUCACGCGACGGUAGCACAACAUUCGUUUUCACUCAUUAGGUGAUGAAAAAAUAUUUAAGAACCUAGCUUGGGCGAAAAGAAAAUCCUCAAAAUGGAAGGAGAUCUCAGUGCAGGAGAGGUGAACGGAUCGUCCAUGACCUACAACCCCUCGGCUCCCUCCGCUCUAGGGUUCGGUAGUCGCAGCGGCCCCGACAUGUCGCCCCCCGUCCCCCACACUCGCCCCGACUCCCUGCCCCA